AAUCUUUCAUCAAUGAAUAUUGUAUUUCAUCUCAAAAAAAAAAAAAAAAAAAAAACUUUCAUUAAUGAUAAGAUUAAUUAUCAGAACUAAAAAUCAUUCCCUGCAAGUACAAGUUCUUUGAGAAAUCGUACUCUCCUCCUCACUUUCUUAUAUUCGUCUUGCCUACCCUCAUCAUUCUUCUUAUUCCUUCGCUCCACCUUCCUUUUUCAGUUUUCUAUUUUCAUUUUUAUUCAUCAUGUCUUCCCUUUGCCUUUCAAUGGAAGAAUUAUAUACAACUUCCUCGUUCUUUUGUUUCCUUUUUUGGUUUUUUACCUCACGCAUAAAUUUUUUUUGGUGUGUUUUCUUAGUUUUAUUUUCUCAUGGAUCACAUUUGCAGUAGUGGAUCUAAGAAUAUAAUAUCGAGUGGUCUCAGUAUAAAAGCUUAAAAAAAAAAUAUUAUACAAACAACAUUAUAAGUUACAAAGACUAAAUUUGUCCAAAAUAAUCCAAGAAUUUAAUAUUGUUUUAGCCAAGUCGUUUAAAAAAAACUAAUCAGUCUUCUUCUCCUUCUCCUUCUAGUUUGUAGAAUUCCAAUAUGGAGCUUAAAAUAAUCUCAAAGUUUGUAAAGGCGAUAUGUAAACUUUUGUUCAAGAAAGAUAAAAUUGCUCUCGUUAAAUGGGCGGGCUUCUUAAAUUCUCUCAUGCACACCUCAAAACCCGCCCAUGAAGGUCCAAGUAAUUGAAUACGACUGCCUUAAGCUCAACACCCCUGAACGCUUCUCCUAAUUAAGCAAUUAUUCAUCUACCAAUAAUACGAUUUAAUUUACCUCUACCAUAUCUUCGAGUUUCUAUAGUUUCAUAUCUCAGUUGUAGAUUAAAUGUUUUUAUCUACCUUUAUCGCAUUUUUUUUCAGUUUACCUCUAUCACAUAUUCUUUUUAUGUUCUCCCUUUAUAACAAAUUAAUUUUAUUUUCUACAUAUAUAGUAGGCAAAUAUUAUAAAUGUUGUAUCGUAAUCCUAAGAAGGAGGUAUCAUAUUAUCAUAUAUGCUUACAUAGUUUUUCAACCUCUAUCAUAUUUUUUUUUUCAACCUCUAUCAUAUGUGUUUUUACUUUGUUUUUUUAAAAAGUGCUUUCUUAGAUAAUAAUAAGUUUAAAGGUUUAAAAUUCAAAAUUAUGUAACCGAUGCAUCAGUUAAGGGUUCAAAUACUUAUAUUUUUUCACGUCAAAGGACGAAAUAAGAAUAAAAAAUUGUAACUGACAAAAAAGGCUUAAGUCAAAAUAGUUCUUGAGAUUUGCAUAACUCCUCAUUUUGGUCCCUGAGAUUUGAAAUCAACAGAAUUGGUCUCUGAGAUUGUCUACCAUCAAUCAUUUAGGUCAUUCUGUGAAAAAUCUCCAUUAAACAAGAAUAAAAUGACAAAAAUACUCUCAAUUUUUGUCAAAUCAUUUUGGCCUAUUUUUAAUAAAUUAAGGGUAUUUUUGUUAUUUUGAUCCUUAUUUAACAUAAUGUUUCACGGACUGAUCAAAAUGAUUGAUGAUUAAUAAUCUCAGGGACCACUUCUAUUGAUUUUAAAUCUCAGGAACCAAAGUGAUGAGUUAUGCAAAUCUCAGGAACCAUUUUGGCUAAAAAAGCUACAAAAAAACAUACAGUAAUGCUCACCUAAGGUCCUCAUCUUGAGGACCUAUGAGAUCCUCUGUUGUAUAUACCCUUAGAUUAAUCUGACGGUGAAUUAUUUAAUAAACUUAUAUUGUCCUUGUUACACUCAGACAAACCUUUGGAGAGGUGAAUCCUUGUUACAUCCGCAUCUUCCUCCAAUCAACAAUCACGUAUGCCCUCAAAUGCCCAUUUGGGUUUGUUCCUUCCAAUUACUCCCCUGCUGCCUAGCCAAUUCCAAUCAAGCUCCUCAGUUGUUCGCUUGACUGAAUGGUCUACAAAAGCAUUAGGUCCUUGUGGACCAGGCACAUGGGCUGCUCCACAAGGUUAAGCUGUUCAAAUCGGCAGAGGUGGUCAAUGUCUUCUUUUAGGGCAUGGUGGCGGCGAUUGCAAAGAGAGUUGAAAACUCAAUGAAGGGAGGCUCAUGGGUCUUUGACUUGACGUUCCAAUUUGUUAUGAACUAAUCGUGAUUGUCUUAGUCACAGUGAGAUUUUAGUAAGGGUAGUAAGGACUAAAGUGUAAGGUAGUUAAAGGCAUAAUUGUAAGGGGUUAAAAGUAUGGGGUUCGAUUGUAAUGGGCCAAUACUUAGUAGAAGGUUUCAGCAAUUGUCAGUUAUUGUCCAGGUGGCACUUUUGUAUUGGGGAAUUGCAGGCAUGUGGGAUAUACAUGCUCCCGAAAUUAUUGUAAUGGCAACUUUUGGAAAAAUCAGUUUAUAUUUCUCUUUUGGUUUUCUCUCUAUUCUAUCACUCUCUCUCACUUUCAUAGCUACCGGUUCUGGUUGAUUCUCUGGUGCCGGUUGGGUUCCUAACAUUGGUAUCACCCUCCGUUCCUGGUUUUUUCCCAUCCGUGUAUGCCCCGUCCCAAACCCACCACUCGUUCCGCCAUGGAUGCCCGCUUUGCUGCUUUUGAAUCUGAAUUUCCGUCGAUCAUCCGUGAGGCGGUGAACUCCGCUUUUGAUGCCAAGCUUCCUGCCCAACUCGAUGCGCGCCUUCCGACGUAUUUCGAUGCGCGCCUUCCGGCGUAUUUUGAGCAGUUCCGCCGCGAGCUCACCCAUGAACUCACCUUUCGUCGUGAGGGUGAAGGUCCAUCCAACCCACCUCCUCCAGAUCCACUUGUUUCUCAUGAGAUGGCUCAGAUCCCACCCCCGCCUCAUCCUGGCCCUCCGAAUCCACGGCCGCCGUGGCAACAGCGCCUCGACUUUCCCCGAUUUACUGACGGUGAUGAUAUCCUUGCUUGGAUUUACAAAGCCAAACAGUUCUUCUCCUUCUAUGGGAUCCCAGAUGCUCAACGUGUUCUCACAGCCUCCUUCCAUUUUGAAGGUGAGCUUCUUCACUGGUUCUGUUGGAUGGAUUGCAUCAACACCACCCCUACUUGGCCAGCGUUUACCAAAGCCCUUUGUCGCGAGUUUGGACCCUCUGCUUUCGACGAUAGUGCCGAGGCUCUCUUCAAACUUCGCUAGCUCGGUACUCUUCGUGAUUAUAUCGCUGAAUUUCGCCGUUUAGCUACUCGUUCACCUGAGAUUAGCCCUCUUCUGUUACGCAGUUGCUUUUUAGGGGGGUUGAAAAAGGAACUUCGAUAUGAUGUCAAGUUGUUACAACCGGCAAAUGUCCAUGAGGCGAUUGCCAUUGCGGUGCAGCUUGAUGCCAAGCUUACGGAGCUCAAAUUGAUUCCAUCUCGAAACCAUACAGCUUCUAAACCAUUUUCAACCAUUGUUCCACCUUCCUCCCAUACUGUGCCACACACUAGCAACCUUGCUAUUAAGAAGCUAACCCCGGAGGAGAUCCAGAGGAAGAGAGCGCGAGGAGAAUGCUGGUUUUGCCCUGAUAAAUGGGUAAUUGGUCAUAAGUGUGGUCUUAAGCAACUAUUGAUGAUGGAUGUGAUGGAUUCUGAAGUUGUGGAAGACAAUAUAGAGGUCGAUCACCCUGAGUUGCAGCACAUGGAGCUUAGUGAAUGUGCUUUUUAUGGCACUGAUGGAGGCUCUCCAAAACACACUAUGAAAGUGCUUGGUCAGAUUAAUGGUCACCCUGUGAGAAUUUUACUUGACUCAGGUAGUUCACACAAUUUUGUUGAUUCCAAAUUGCUUAAACGAUGGGGAUGGCAAGCAGAAACUACCAAGGCUUUUCAGGUCAUGAUAGCCGAUGGAGGCAAAGUUACAAGCUCUGGUUGUUGCAAGGCUGUGGAAUUGUCUCUUGCAGGGUAUCAUUGUCUUACAGAUCUGUAUUCCUUGUCUCUAGGGGGUUGUGAUGUAGUUUUAGGGGUGCAAUGGCUCUCCACCGUGAGCCCUGUGUUAUGGGAUUUCCAACUACUUACUAUGAAGUUCACUAAGGACCACCAAACCUAUAAGUUGUCCCAUUAUUCUUCAGAUGUCUCAAUCAUUCAAGAAGUCUCGCUGCACCAAUUAGAUAAGGAGCUAGUUAACUCUAACUUGGGGUUACUUUUGUAUUCCAUGGAAGAAGAGACACUAGAAUCCUGUGACCUAAAUCCAGUACAGUUGCAGGAGCUGCCGCAACUCUUGUGUAAGUUUGAGGCACUCUUUGUCUUGCCUACCAAACUUCCCCCACCGAGAGACCAUGAUCACCAUAUUCCUUUGGUGCAAGGUGCCAAACCCCCAAACAUCCGACCAUACCACUAUGGUCCAUUGCAAAAAACGGAAAUAGAAAAGGCAGUUCAGGAGCUGCUAGAGGCAGGUUUCAUAAGGCCAAGCCACAGUCCUUUUUCUUUCCCUGUGUUACUUGUCAAAAAGAAAGAAGGUACUUGGCGUAUGUGCAUUGACUAUUGAGAGCUCAAUGCCCUUACUAUUAAGGAUAAAUAUCCCAUACCCCUUAUUGAUGAUCUGUUGGAUGAGUUGCAGGGCUCUCUCUAUUUCUCUAAGCUAGACUUACGAUCUGGAUAUCAUCAGAUCUUAAUGCAACCUGGGGACAUUGCCAAAAUUGCAUUUAGGACUCAUGAAGGACACUAUGAGUUCCUAGUUAUGCCUUUUGGGCUUACAAACGCUCCUGCCACAUUUCAAGGUUUAAUGAAUGCUUUAUUCAAGCCCCAUUUGAGAAAAUGUGUGUUAGUCUUCUUUGAUGACAUUCUUGUUUAUAGUCGGACCUGGGAAUCCCAUUUAGCCCAUUUGCAGAUGGUAUUUGAGAUAUUACAGGCCAAUCAACUCUUCCUCAAGAAAUCUAAAUACUCCUUUGGACAAAAUAGAGUUGAGUACUUGGGUCAUAUUGUCUCUAAGGAAGGAGUAGCACCUGAUCCUCGAAAAAUUGAAGCUAUACAAAGUGGGCCUGCACCAAGAAACGUCAAGGAACUCAGGGGGUUCCUUGGUUUAACAGGCUACUAUAGAAAAUUCGUACCAGGCUUUGGCAAGAUUUGCCAGCCCUUAUACCACUUGACAAGGAAUGAUGGAUUUCAGUGGGAUGUAGAAGCUCAACAAGCUUUUGACAAGCUUAAAACAGCUAUGGUUUCUCCACAGGUGUUGGCACUACCCGAUUUUUCCAAGCCUUUUGAAUUAGAGUGUGAUGCCUCAGGCUGUGGUAUUGGAGCUGUACUACAACAAGAAGGACGACCUAUUGCUUUUUCAAGCCAGUCACUAGGUCCAAGGAAUCAAGCACUUUCCACUUAUGAAAGAGAACUAAUUGCAGUGGUUUAUGCAGUACGGAAGUGGCAGAAUUAUCUCCAAGGACGACAUUUCAUAAUUAAGACUGAUCAUAACAGUCUUAAAUAUUUUCUACACCAACGAGCUCAUACUGCAUUCCAACAGAAAUGGGUAUCUAAAUUGUUGGGGUAUGAUUAUGAGAUACAGUUCAAAAAUGGCUCCCAAAAUGCAGCAGCCGAUGCCUUAUCCAGGCUACAUGGGGUGCCUAGGCUACAAGAAUCGUUGGAGUCAACGGGAGCAUGCUAUGCCAUUUCUUACCCAUACCAUGGAUGGAUUGACGAACUAAGAAGAAGCACUGAACAAGAUGAGUGGAUCCAAACAAAGAAAAAAAAAGUUCUUGACUCCGCACUCAAUGGCACAAGUGAUUCUUCUUUGGGAAAGUACACUAUUGACAACGGAUUUUUGCUUUACAAGCACAGAGUGGUGUUGAGUCCUCAUUCAGAAUGGAAAAGGAAAAUUUUAGCAGAAUACCAUUGUACACCUUCUGCUGGUCACCAAGGAGUACUUAAAACAUACCAAAGAGCCAAGAGAGGCUUCUAUUGGCAGGGAAUAAAGAGAGAUAUCAAGACUUAUGUGGCGGAAUGUCAAGUGUGCCAACAAAACAAAGUGGAAACCAUUUCUCCACCAGGGUUGCUGCAGCCUUUGCCUAUUCCCCAACGAGUCUGGACAGACAUCAACAUGGAUUUCAUAGGAGGACUGCCUUUAUGCAAAGGAAAAUCUGUGAUAUUAGUGGUGGUUGACAGGCUGUCCAAGAGUGUUCACUUCAUAGCAAUGUCCCACCCAUACACGGCAAUCACAGUGGCUCAGGCCUUUAUUGACAAUGUGCUGAAACUUCAUGGCAUACCAAGGUCAGUGGUCAGUGAUCGAGACCCUAUUUUUGUCAGUGCUUUUUGGCGGGAAUUGUUCAAAUUACAAGGAUCCAAAUUGUGCAUGAGCUCUGGUUACCAUCCACAAACUGAUGGGCAGACCGAAGUGAUGAACCGGUGUCUUGAGACCUAUUUGAGGUGUUUUGUGGGAGGUCAACCAAAGAAGUGGGUACAAUGGCUUCCCUGGGCCGAGUGGUGCUUUAACACUUCCUACCAUUCAUCUGCAAAAUUCACACCUUUCGAACUUGUCUAUGGCUAUCCUCCUCCCCAAGUUAUACCCUAUGAAUUCGGUACUGCAAGAGUGGAAACUGUGGGACAGAGUUUAAUGGAAAGGGAUAAGGUCUUAUCCAUGCUUAAACACAAUCUGGAAAUGGCUCAGAAUCGCAUGAAAAUGCAGCAAGAUAAGAAAAGAACGGAGAGGCAAUUCGAAGUUGGGGAUUUUGUGUAUCUAAAACUGAUUCCUUAUCAAUUGCAGACCCUAUCUCCUCACAGCUACCAUAAGCUUCUGCCACGAUACUAUGGUCCUUAUGAGAUUUGUGAAAAGGUUGGGUAUGUGGCCUACAAACUGAACCUACCACCAAACACAAAAAUCCACCCUGUGUUCCCUGUGAGUCAAUUGAAGAAACACCUGGGAACUAGAGCAACAACACAGACUGUCCUGCCACAGGUUGUUGAAGAUGGGUUGGUAGGGAAUGUCCCUGUUGCAGUGUUGGCAAGAAGAAUCUAUAAGAAAGGAGAUGUUGCUGGAGUUCAAUUACUAGUACAGUGGCAAAAGCAAGAGGAAUCAGAGGCGACCUGGGAGGAUUUUGAUGAGUUCAAAGCCAAAUACCCCUCAUUUCCUCUCUGAAACCUUGUGGACAAGGUUCUCUAAAGGGAAGGUAUUGUUAUGAACUAAUCGUGAUUGUCUUAGUCACAGUGAGAUUUUAGUAAGGGUAGUAAGGACUAAAGUGUAAGGUAGUUAAAGGCAUAAUUGUAAGGGGUUAAAAGUAUGGGGUUCGAUUAUAAUGGGCCAAUACUUAGUAGAAGGUUUCAGUAAUUGUCAGUCAUUGUCCAGGUGGCACUUUUGUAUUGGGGAAUUGCAGGCAUGUGGGAUAUACAUGCUCCCGAAAUUAUUGUAAUGGCAACUUUUGGAAAAAUCAGUUUAUAUUUCUCUUUUGGUUCUCUCUCUAUUCUAUCACUCUCUCUCACUUUCAUAGCUACCGGUUCUGGUUGAUUCUCCGGUGCCGGUUGGGUUCCUAACACAAUUUGGCUUCCUGCUUUUCAAUGGUGAGGGUCCAGGUGUUGGGCUUUGCGGAAGAAACACAGUCACUGCCAUGGAGGGGAGGGAAAGAUAGGGAAUGGAGGGGAGAGAGAGUAGGAGAGGAAGAAGACGGCUUGCCUGAAGGAGGUUUCACAUGUGAAUUAUUUUUUCUUUUUCUUUUUUAAUUGAGAUUAUGAUUUUAUUAGGGUG
rnacentral:lncRNA from 1 species